rnacentral:rRNA from 1 species
AUUGAACGCUGGUGGCAUGCCUUACACAUGCAAGUCGAACGGCAGCACGGGUGCUUGCACCUGGUGGCGAGUGGCGAACGGGUGAGUAAUACAUCGGAACAUGUCCUGUAGUGGGGGAUAGCCCGGCGAAAGCCGGAUUAAUACCGCAUACGAUCUACGGAUGAAAGCGGGGGACCUUCGGGCCUCGCGCUAUAGGGUUGGCCGAUGGCUGAUUAGCUAGUUGGUGGGGUAAAGGCCUACCAGGGCGACGAUCAGUAGCUGGUCUGAGAGGACGACCAGCCACACUGGGACUGAGACACGGCCCAGACUCCUACGGGAGGCAGCAGUGGGGAAUUUUGGACAAUGGGCGAAAGCCUGAUCCAGCAAUGCCGCGUGUGUGAAGAAGGCCUUCGGGUUGUAAAGCACUUUUGUCCGGAAAGAAAUCCUUGGCCCUAAUACGGUCGGGGGAUGACGGUACCGGAAGAAUAAGCACCGGCUAACUACGUG